CAACCAAAUAAAUAGACAGAUAAAAUGUUAAUAGUGGUUCAGUGUACAAUGUCUGCCAACAGCAGCCUCCUGGUAGUGUUAGCAGCCUGUUACUGGUAGAAUUGCCCUAAGGGACCCAGUGACAGUU
ensembl:snoRNA SNORA70 Small nucleolar RNA SNORA70